rnacentral:sRNA from 1 species
UGUGCACUUUGCUCUCCACAUUCUCAAAACCUGUUCCACUCACCUGAGAGAGAAGCCUUGGAAAGAGACCUAGUACUUCCUCUGCUCUGCAAAGACUAUUGCAAAGAAUUCUUUUACACUUGCCGAGGCCAUAUUCCAGGUUUCCUUCAAACAACUGCGGAUGAGUUUUGCUUUUACUAUGCAAGAAAAGAUGGUGGGUUGUGCUUUCCAGAUUUUCCAAGAAAACAAGUCAGAGGACCAGCAUCUAACUACUUGGACCAGAUGGAAGAAUAUGACAAAGUGGAAGAGAUCAGCAGAAAGCACAAACACAACUGCUUCUGUAUUCAGGAGGUUGUGAGUGGGCUGCGGCAGCCCGUUGGUGCCCUGCAUAGUGGGGAUGGCUCGCACCGUCUCUUCAUUCUGGAAAAAGAAGGUUAUGUGAAGAUACUUACCCCUGAAGGAGAAAUUUUCAAGGAGCCUUAUUUGGACAUUCACAAACUUGUUCAAAGUGGAAUAAAGGACCUUCUCAUCCUUUUCAUCAUCAAGAAAAUCAGGUGGCUGUCACUAUAGACAACUA